CGGGACACGUGGUAUCCUGUCUGAAUAUGGGGGGACCAUCCUCCAAGGCUAAAUACUCCUGACUGACCGAUAGUGAACCAGUACCGUGAGGGAAAGGCGAAAAGAACCCCGGCGAGGGGAGUGAAAAAGAACCUGAAACCGUGUACGUACAAGCAGUGGGAGCACGCUUAGGCGUGUGACUGCGUACCUUUUGUAUAAUGGGUCAGCGACUUAUAUUCUGUAGCAAGGUUAACCGAAUAGGGGAGCCGAAGGGAAACCGAGUCUUAACUGGGCGUUAAGUUGCAGGGUAUAGACCCGAAACCCGGUGAUCUAGCCAUGGGCAGGUUGAAGGUUGGGUAACACUAACUGGAGGACCGAACCGACUAAUGUUGAAAAAUUAGCGGAUGACUUGUGGCUGGGGGUGAAAGGCCAAUCAAACCGGGAGAUAGCUGGUUCUCCCCGAAAGCUAUUUAGGUAGCGCCUCGUGAAUUCAUCUCCGGGGGUAGAGCACUGUUUCGGCAAGGGGGUCAUCCCGACUUACCAACCCGAUGCAAACUGCGAAUACCGGAGAAUGUUAUCACGGGAGACACACGGCGGGUGCUAACGUCCGUCGUGAAGAGGGAAACAACCCAGACCGCCAGCUAAGGUCCCAAAGUCAUGGUUAAGUGGGAAACGAUGUGGGAAGGCCCAGACAGCCAGGAUGUUGGCUUAGAAGCAGCCAUCAUUUAAAGAAAGCGUAAUAGCUCACUGGUCGAGUCGGCCUGCGCGGAAGAUGUAACGGGGCUAAACCAUGCACCGAAGCUGCGGCAGCGACGCUGAUGCGUUGUUGGGUAGGGGAGCGUUCUGUAAGCCUGUGAAGGUGUGCUGUGAGGCAUGCUGGAGGUAUCAGAAGUGCGAAUGCUGACAUAAGUAACGAUAAAGCGGGUGAAAAGCCCGCUCGCCGGAAGACCAAGGGUUCCUGUCCAACGUUAAUCGGGGCAGGGUGAGUCGACCCCUAAGGCGAGGCCGAAAGGCGUAGUCGAUGGGAAACAGGUUAAUAUUCCUGUACUUGGUGUUACUGCGAAGGGGGGACGGAGAAGGCUAUGUUGGCCGGGCGACGGUUGUCCCGGUUUAAGCGUGUAGGCUGGUUUUCCAGGCAAAUCCGGAAAAUCAAGGCUGAGGCGUGAUGACGAGGCACUACGGUGCUGAAGCAACAAAUGCCCUGCUUCCAGGAAAAGCCUCUAAGCAUCAGGUAACAUCAAAUCGUACCCCAAACCGACACAGGUGGUCAGGUAGAGAAUACCAAGGCGCUUGAGAGAACUCGGGUGAAGGAACUAGGCAAAAUGGUGCCGUAACUUCGGGAGAAGGCACGCUGAUAUGUAGGUGAAGCGACUUGCUCGUGGAGCUGAAAUCAGUCGAAGAUACCAGCUGGCUGCAACUGUUUAUUAAAAACACAGCACUGUGCAAACACGAAAGUGGACGUAUACG
rnacentral:rRNA from 1 species